UUCUGAUGUGCAGCAGGGUUUGCACUGGGUCUUGCUGCUGCUCCGUGGGAAGGCCAGAGAGCUACUGCCAUGGGUUGUCCCACAGAACCAACACUCUGGAUCAGACCCAAUGUUUGCCUUCUUAUGUCCCUCCAUUCACCUGUUCUGUGAAUAGCCAUGAAUAUGGAGAAAAAAUGCAUCAUCAAAGCCGGCAGAAUGCAAAAAUCUUUCUGCAGAGACCCCAGCGAAUGACAGAAAUUGAAAAUUAAAGGAGAAAACCAGCAAUGGAACAUUAAGAACAUUUGCUACCCUUGUCUUCUGUUUCAAUAUGGAAUUAUUGAAAGUGUUUAUAGUGAAACUGGAAAUCACAGACCUGCUGCUCCUGCUUUCAUUACAGCCUGAAAGCUGGGCAUCGUUCCGAGCUACGUUCCUCUGAAUAAGGUGAAUCCUUGCAAUUAGCAGGGCUAAUUUCAUGGAAAUUGUUCCACUGAGAUAGUGCAAAAUCUGCUGUUCUGCAUACAGUACUGACGGAGAGUUGCCCUCACAUUUCUCCAUCUUAUUAUGGUUAGCACAAAUACUGAAAACACAGAAGUGUCUGGAUUAAAAUUAUAUGACUGUUAAAUGCAAAGACUUGCUCUUCCAUUUACAUCCCAUUUUAAAUGUACUGACACUGAGCUCAAU
ensembl:lncRNA